AAUGAACGUUGGCGGCAUGGAUUAGGCAUGCAAGUCGAGCGAGAAGUUUCCUUCGGGAAGCGGAAAGCGGCGAAAGGGAGAGUAACGCGUAGAUAUCUGCCCUCAGGUCUGGGAUACCCACCGGAAACGGUGAUUAAUACCGGAUAAUGUCUCCGGACCAAAGAUUUAUUGCCUGAGGAGGAGUCUGCGUCCUACUAGCUAGUUGGUGUGGUAAUGGCGCACCAAGGCUUAGAUGGGUAGCGGGCGUGAGAGCGUGGCCCGUCUCACUGGGACUGAGAUACUGCCCAGACAUCUACGGAUGGCUGCAGUCGAGAAUNUUCGGCAAUGGACGAAAGUCUGACCGAGCAAUGCCGCGUGCGGGACGAAGGCCUUCGGGUCGUAAACCGCUGUCAGAGGAAGGAAU
rnacentral:rRNA from 1 species